GCUCCGCGUGAGCCCCGCCUCCCCAGGGCCCCGAGAGGCAGUACCCCCCGCGCUCCCCCGCCGCGCGCCCUGCGCCUGGGUUAGCUCGCGGGGACCAAGGCCGACCCGUUCCCAGGGGCGCCGAGGCCCUGGCGGAGAGCCUCCUGCUGUGGCCGGACCACUGGGCUUGGCCAGCGGGCCCGGUCCCCGAGAAGGGGAGAUCCGGCCCCCAGCGCAGUGCGGCCCGCCACGUCGCCCCCUUCCGCCGCUCAGGGUACGACCCGGGGGCGGGGCCGUGGGGGGAAGGGAGAGUCAGCGACGCGGGGACAGAAGACCAGGAGGGCACGCGCUCCCAUGGCGUGUGGGUGAGGAGCCCCCCGGCAGUCCUGGCGCUAGGCCGCCCCAGCUGCCCAAAUCCCGACGCACACGAGGAACGGGCCCCAGCCAGGCCGCACGUGUGACAGGCCUGCAGGAGGUUCCACUGGGUCCCCGCCCCAGACCCAGCUCCCGCGGCUUUUCUUCCGUCUGUCCUGUCCUCAGAAGGGCUCCCCUGCGCUGCUCCGUGGUCCUGCCAGUCCUGGCUGUGAGCUGCUCUAGGAGCCCCUGAGGGCAGGCCUCAUCCCGGACUCUCCAGGUCCUCUCGGGCCACAGGGUCCAUUCGGAUGGUGGGCCCCGGCACGUGCAGACUGGGACCCAGUGGUCUGAGAAGCGGGUGAUGAAUUGUUCCCAUUCCCUAAGGACUCUGGGUCAUGGAAUAACACCUGUGGGUGAAGGGGGGUGCUGGGGGUCCCUAUUUGUGGCACAGCACUGACCAGGGCAAAAGCAAAAUAGCUCCCUCUUCAAAAUUUAUAAAUUUCAAAACUUCACCUCAAACCUUUUGCAGUGAGAACAGCUACAUUUCUGCACGUCUCUCCCUGCGGCCCUGACAGGCAGGAGACGGAAGGCGUGAGCUGGCAUGGGCGGCGGGUGAGGAGAGGCUGGCGUACAGCUGCAGCCCCGUCAGGUCACACGUGGACGCCUGGAACCGCGGGGAGGAGCCCAGCUCUUCUGGAGUGCUCAGGCUGCCUGCCUGACCUCUCCAAGGCCCUGGGCUCCUGGGGGGCACCUGUGUUCUGCCUGGGUAGUGGGUCAGGAGUGGUUGACCCUCCGAGAACCCAGCCUGCACCCUCGUGGACGACAUGGUGAAGUAUCGCCAUGCCGAGGGCCCUUCUGUGUUUCGAUGGAGAGAGGAGAGCCCGGGGACCCAAAGGGAGGCCAUGGUCCUGCUGACGUCUGCGGCAUCCUACACACACCGUCAGUGUGGAAGGGAGAGAGCAGGGCGGGGUCCGAACUUCUUCAAAGCCUUACGCUUGACCUGGGCAGGUUACCUCUCCUCGGGACCUUGGCUGUCACACCUGCAGACAAACAGAGCAGCGUCUGCCUCUUCCCCUGUGUCGCGAUGACCCAGAAGCCUGGGGAUUUGCUGGUGAGCUCCAGUAGGCCCCAUUUCCCUUGUCUCCGAAGCCAUCAGCCAUUCAGUUGCCAAUUGCUCUGACUACAGAAACGAGCCAGCCGAGCUGGGAGAGCUGGUGGGCUGGGCGACGGGCUGUGCGGCGGGAGAGGAAGCUGGGUGGAGGGUGCAAACUGAAGGACACUCACCUCAUCAAAACCGCAGGGCCCUGGGGACCUGAGUGGCCCAGGAGGGUGGAAGCAUCCAGGACAGCGUGGCCCAGAAGGGACCACAGAAGGGGCGAGUCCGUGGACAGCAGGGCCAGGGAGUCGGGGACGGCGGGGAGGAGGGGCUCUGGAGGAUGCUCCGGCCCCAGGGGGACACGGCCCCAGGACGAUGCAGCUGAGUGUCGGACCUCAGCACGUGCAGAGAGCAAGCGUCCAGGAGAACCACAGAAUCCUGAGAAACAAUCGAUGGUGUGGUUUUCAGUCACUGGUGGUGGCACAGUCUGGUCUGCAUUCCAUUUCAAGCUAACGCUUGGGGGGGCCUGGAGUGAGGAUGGAGGCUGCAUGUCCGGCACCGUUUGUCAGUGUGAACAUCCUUGCCCUGUUGACUUCCCUCGACAGCUCUGUGACAUGCACAUGUGGGUCGGUCUCUGGACCCUGCAUUCUGACACCCGUGCUGGUAUCACACCGCCCUGAUUACUGACGCUUUAGGUUAAGCCUUGAAAUUAGAUAAUGUGAGUCCUCCAAGUGUUCCUCUGCCAAAACUGCUUUGACCCACCUGGAGCCUUUCGCUUCCCAUAUAAACUUCAGAAUGAAUUUGUUAGUAUCCCAGAAACACUUGUUGGGAUUUCUCAUGAGAUUGUGUUGAAUCUGCUGGUCGGUUUGGGAAGAUCAACCUCUUGGUAACGCGGUUGCCCGUCCCCGAGUGUGGUGCGCAUCGCGUUGAUCUAGGUUGUCUUUCAUUUUCUCAGCAGCGUUUCAUCACUCUUGCUUAUCAUCUGCAGGUCUCACCUCUGCUUGUCUAAUGCUGCCCUUCAUUGUAUUGUUUUGAUGCUGUUGUAAACGAGAUUGUUUCUAUUUCAGUUUCCAGAGUCUGUUGCUAGUGUCCAGAAGCACAGCUGAAUUCCGUUAUGUUUGCGGUGUGUGCUUCGCCCUUGCUAAGUUCAUGCAUUAAUCCUGUAGCAUGUUUGUAGAUUCCUUAGGACUCUCCCCACUCACAGCCACGCUACCUGGGGAGGAAAACGGUUUUAUUUUUCCUCCUCAUCACGUGUGCCUUCAUGGCUGUUAUCUCCUUGCACUGACUGACACCCGCUACCCAGUGCUGAUCAGAGUGGUGCCUCGUUACCAAUUUAAGGGGAAAACUUCGGUCUGGACGUUAGCUGUGCAUUUUCAGAGGCACAUUUAGUAAAGUGGGGGACGUUGCCUUCUGUUCCCGGUUUGCUGAGAGUUCUUGUCGUUCUGUCAAAGCUCUGUCGUAUGGUUCUUCUCCUUCAUUCAGUUAAUAUGCUGGAUUAAAUUGGUUGAUGUUCCAACCUUAAACCAACCUUGUUUUUCUGGAUGAGCCCCAACUUGAGCACAUAGAAUUGUAUUUGUUUUUAGCUAUGUCUUUUGUGAUUGUUUUUAAAGCUAUCAUUUAAAAAUGAAUCCUGCUUUUUAGUGUCAUAUCUAAAGAAUCCUGCUUAACCCAAGGUCACAAAUACUUUCACCUAUUCUCUUCAAAAACUUUUAUAAUUUUAUAUUGUACAUUUAAGUAUAUAAUCCUUCCUGAGCUAUUUUUAUAUGAUAUUAUACAUAUACAUACAUAUAUACAUAUAAUAUAUAUAUGGUUUUAAAAAUUUUUUGCACGUGGCAUCUGUGGUUCCGUACCAUUUAUGGUAAACACUACCGUUUCCCCACGGAAUUGCACGUGCACCUUUGUCAGGAGCCAGCUGACCGCAUGCACGUGCUUCUGUUGCUGGGCGGUCUGUCCGCCCGUUGAUCUAUUUAUCCGUUUCAGCGCCCAGCCCGCCCCGCCUUGAUCGCGGGAGCCUCACAACACGUCUUGAGGUUGCUCAGUGCUGGUCCUCAGGCCUGGUUUUCCUUUUUGAAAGUCAGUCCAGUUGUCCCAGGUCCUUUCCAUCUUCCACGUGAAUCUUAGAACCAGCCGUGACUUUCCACAGAAGACCCUUCUGUCAUUCUGAGUGGGACUGUGUUGCUCGGGAUUACGGGUCACUUUGGGAGAAGUGACACCUGAGCAACAUCGAGCCUUGUGGUCCUUCGGUGUGCGUGAGUCGCAGCUUGUUCACAUUUUCUUCGCUCCCCUCGGCUCUCGGAGUGGAGACCUCGACCGCCUCCUGUCGGGUUCACCACAGCGUGUUGAGUUUUUGGUGCUGCUGCACAGGACACGUGAGACGUCCGUUCUGAUCGUUCAUUGCUCGUGUGGAGGAGGGCACCUUACUUCUCGUGCAGAUCUCAUGUCGUGAACUGACUAGGCUCACUUGUGAGUUCUCUCUCUUGAGCUCCGUGUCUUCUAGGCAGGAGACCGUGCUCUCUGCAAAUAAAGGCAUUUCACUCCUCCCGUUCUCAUGUUCUGACUUGGAUCCCUUUACUUCUCUUACUGGCUGGAACCCUGCGUGAACUGUUGGACAGAAGUGGUGACAGUGGACAGCCCUGUGUUUCCCACUUGGGCAAAGUGCGUUAUGCUUUUCCUUACGCUGCUGGAGGCUGUGUGCAGACACUUUAAAUGGUGACGUGCCUGUGUAUUCGAGCAGGCGCAGUGUCCUCUCCUGCAGCGUCCACGUCUGGCUUCGGUGCCAGCACAGCGCCGGCCUUUAGGAAGGGCUGUUUAGUUCUUCCGGAGUUUCUGGGCGAGUUUGCGUGGCGCCGGCAUCACCUCUUCCUCAGAUGUUUGGUGGGGGUUCCCAUGAAGCCAGCUGGUGUCGUUGUCUUUCUGGAGCCCUUUUAAUUCAAAUUCAGAUUCUUUAAUAAUCAGAGCGCAGUGCCCGUGGGCCUUUAAUCGCCCUUUUCUUCCUCCUAGAGGGACGCAAGGCUCACUCUGACUCAGGAGGAUCUCACCUCGAGCUUUUACCUUAGUUUCACCUGCAAAGACCUGUUUCCAAAUAAGGUCACAUCCGCAGGUCCUGGGGAGCGGGACUUGGGCACGUCUCUUUUGGGGGGACACCGACCAGCCCACUGCAGCCAGCUAAUCUUGGGCAAUUUUGGCAAAAUCCAUGACUAGAUGUUAAAGAUAAAAGGCAGUGUGUGUCGGCUCCACGUGACCCCUCUGUCCACGGCAUCACUCUGUUGAGAUCAGAGCUCAGGGCUCCCUUCCUCAUGGGCUGGGGGUUACCACCUCCGUGGAAGCGGCUCAGCCAAGGUGCCCUCUUCCAAAAGCAGCCUAGUGAGUCUGCAAAGGACGGCUCAGGAACCCUCACGAUUCCACCAGCUCUGGGGAGCGAGUUUGCCCGCGGGCCGGCAGCCCCUCUUGCCCUCAGGCUUUGUCUCACUGCAAGUUCCCCACCGUCCUCAUUACAUUUGCUCGACAGGCCCUUUAGGGCAGUUUCCAUACACAUCUGGCCUUAAGAUGCCCAAGCAACCAGUUUGCUGCAGACUGUCCCAGUCCUCAGCGUCUUCUCCAAAACUGCCCAAGCCUGGCCGAUCGAGCACCUGCAGGCAUCUGCUGGGAGCCCCCGGGAGGGAGGCGUCCAGCUGCAGUGCUCCCGGCGAGCCGGGGGACAGGGCCGCUGGGCCCGAGUUCUGCCCCAGGACCCCCCACCCCUGUGCAGGGAACAACUGCCAACGCGGCAGAGGUGACGGUGCAGGCGAAUGAGUUUCUAAGACCGUGAAGUAUUCCCUGCUGUGCUUUCGUAUUCAACUCAGCACUGCUGCAGGUUGGACAAAAGGAAGAAAAUAUUGCCUAUUUGGGGACUUCAACGUGUCGAAACACAACAUCGAUGCAGGUCAACCAGCUAAAAGCCAGUGCACACACCUGCGGGGUGGGUCCUGUGCACAGGAGAGUCACUUCCUCUGCAGUCAGUUUGGUUUCAAGGUGCACACCCAAUACAGAAACCCAGGGAAGCACUGCGGUAUAGACUAAGGAAUGUACACUGAUGGCUCCUUGAAACAAAGCUGACACGGACACCUCAGUGUCCCCGAGCGCCCAGCGGAAGUCCUGUUUCUCCGUCUGAGUGAGGGUGAACGUGGCUUCUGGCUGGAGGGCCUUCCAGAGCCUUCCCUUCUCCCCAGGCCAGCAGAGGCCGGGGCACUGGCCAUGAAAGUGUCUGUUGCAGGCGUCCAGCUCCAUCCAGCGUCCUGGCCCUUGGGGCGUCGUUGCCGAGCCGGCUGCCCGGGAGCUGGUGACCCGGCCAACGUCUCUCCCAGCCUGGGUCGGUUUGGUGCCCUCAGCACAGGCUUUUCUCUGGCGACCCCACGUGGGCCCAGAACUGGCCAGAAGUGGCAGUGUUGUGUGCCCAGGGCAGCAGAAGGUGGCCUUCUCUGGAUGGUGGGCACCACAGCACCCGUCUCCCCCGAGAGCUGGAGCAGGACAAGCCCUGAGCCCAGUGCCCUCAGACCCCUCUCCCUCCUGUGGCCACCUGGGCUCUGCGUGGCGCCGGGGUCCUUGUCUGUCAGCAUCUGGACGCUCAAGGGCAUCUCGCUGCUGCCCUCGCCCCUCCUCAGAGCCUUUCUCCUUGGGCUUCCUGGGGCCGGGAGUCUCCUGCCACCUUCCUGGCCUUGGCGGGUGACGCCUGCUCCCUCAUCCACCCCUGACGGCACCUUCCCCAGGCUCCCCCUCCCCUCCAGGCCUCUUGUUCCCUCCCUCCCUCCCCUCCUCCUCACUCCGGCGAUAUAGGGCCAUUUUACAGACAGAAAAA